rnacentral:rRNA from 1 species
UACGUAGGGGGCAAGCGUUGUCCGGAAUCAUUGGGCGUAAAGCGCGUGUAGGCGGCCCGGUAAGUCCGCUGUGAAAGUCGGGGGCUCAACCCUCGAAUGCCGGUGGAUACUGUCGGGCUAGAGUGCGGAAGAGGCGAGUGGAAUUCCUGGUGUAGCGGUGAAAUGCGCAGAUAUCAGGAGGAACACCAAUUGCGAAGGCAGCUCGCUGGGACGUGACUGACGCUGAGACACGAAAGCGUGGGUAGCAAACAGG